AUUAACCUCACCUUCAAGGUGAACAAUAAUAGAGUAGCAGCAGCCAAGUAGCAACAUAUUUCUGUGUUGCAAUUCCUUGCCUCCACUGUGAGCCAAACCCCAGCCACAUCUCCAGCACACAAGAACUUCCAAACGCCUGACGGCAGCUGCAAGGCGUUCCUCCAGAACCUCCUCCCACAAGAGCUUGCUACAAGUGCAAGAAAUCUGGCCACUGGGUCAAGGAAUGCCCACAGCCCAGGAUUCCUCCCAAGCUGUGUCCCAUCUGUGCCACUGAAAAUCGGACUGUUCAACUCACCUAGCAGCCACUCCCAGAGGCCCUGGAACUCUGGCCCAAGGCUCUCUGACUCCUUCCCAGAUCUUCUCGGCUUAGCAGCUGAAGACUGAGACUGCCCGAUUGCCUCGAAAGCCUACAGGACCAUCACAGACUCUCUGGGUAACUCACAGUGGAAGAUCUUCCUUUGGACAACCGCCUCCUCCCUGCCUUCAUUCCUGUGGUUUGGUGAAGCUGACACUUCUCCCAGCUAUAGGGAGGGGCGUGAGCCACAGGCCAAAGUCAAUCAGUGCAUUCCAUCCACCAGCCCAGAGACUGAAUCAGCAAAGGUCCCAGAGCUCCACUUGGGCCAAUGGCAGUCAGGCCAAGGACUUUGUGGAACUGUUGCUCAGAGGACAGCCCCUUGGAACACAGCAGUAGCUUUACACAAUGCUAUCUGCCCCUUGCAACAAAGCAGUAAUUUCACUACUUGAGGGAUGGAAAAGAUGUACCAUAAAAGACACAGAGGCGAUAGACAAAAGGGAAGUAAGAUUCAGGUCUUGCACAGAAACUGAGCCUUGAUUUUCCGCAGAAUAUACUGUGACCAAGCCUCCUGCAGGGCUGCCUGUACGUUAAAGAAAUGGAAGCGUCUUGAAUCGUGUCCAUCGUCCCUCCUUUACACAAAGUAAUCACCUCCAGCUGGGCCAAGUUGAUUGAGGAAACGUUCAGUUUUCACAUGAUUUUGCUGUAGCACCAUAAUGAAUGUAUUUCUUUGAUGGAAGAAAGAAGCUUCAUGAAAUAAACUGCUUAAGGAUUUGAAGUUGGAGCUGAAAACAUGGGCUGCUUUGUUCUUAAUGACAACUGCUUUGCCAUCUAAAACAUUUCUCCUUUUUGAAGGAUCUGUCUUUUCUCUUCCAGCCACAACCCUCGAGCUACAAUAACAGGCUCAUGAUUUUUUUAGAUGCCAAGGUUAUGAAUACUCUUUUAUGAAUAUUUUCCUUUGAACUCAUUUCUCUUGAAGAAGAAAAAUAGCCCUACAUAUUGCAGGAUUGACAAUAACAGACAAAACGUACAAAUUGUUCUCUUAGGGGCAGUAAAAUGCUCCAAAAUGCACAUAGAAAAAUUCCAAAUGCAACCUGAUGUUUAUGGAGCACUGCCUUUGCAGCUAUAAUUUUUAGAAAGUAAUAUUUCUGACUGACAUGAAUUAUACAGAGCAUAUUUCAGAGACUAAUAUCAGGUUAAUGCCUUAAAAUGUCUCCGUUUAUGACAUCAUGGCUGCUUUUCCUAUAUCAGUGCAAACUCUUAGUGAGUAGAAUUUGAGGAUAUGUCUUUUCAAAGGAAGAAAACCUUCACUGAAUUAAGCUGCUUAUGGUUUUAUUUUUUCUUUUAUCCCAUUUCAACAUAUCCACCAACCUCCUCUAAAAAUAAUUCAACUAAUGUGAACUCAACAGAUUAUAGUAGAUCUCUUAUUAAUUUCAUUUUGCCUCCAAAGGAGCUUAUCAUUUAGGCUUAUAAUUAUGUAUGCAGUACUGUCGACUAAUGUUUAGGUUCCUCAUUAAAACUUCAUUUCAUUCUGUUUUAAUAUCAUCAGUCUGUUAGACCAUUUAUUUUCUCAUGUUAAAAAAUAUGUGUUUUCCCUGAACUCUUUCCAUAUGUUUUCUCUCAUCCAAAAAAUCCAGAAAACUCAGCUCCCUUUAAUCCUGCUUUGUGGCUUAGAUACUUUAGCCUGGAACCACUCGUGUUGAUUUGUAUAUACCCACACUUACGCAAAAAUAGCCUUCACUACGGCAGAGUAAUCAUUCUGCAUAGAAAUUAUGUGUCUCUGAAGCCUAUGUUGUCAGGUGAAUCGUGGCAGCAAUGACCUAAGAAUGCAUCCCCAGUUUGAAAUGACCUAUAAAAAUUUCAAGAUACAACUAUUGCUUUGCAUUUGGCAUCGGGAAUAUUCUGUAUAGUUCUUUUCAUGUAAAUGGGCAAUAUUCUAGAAUGGUUCCCAAGUAUAAGCUUUAGAGCUAGACUUCUUGGGUACAACUCCCACUAUUACCACUUACUAGUUAUGUAAUAUUGGAAAAUACACUUAACUACUCUGAGCAUCAUAAAGUAAGCUUACUAACA
rnacentral:lncRNA from 1 species